AACUUGCCCAAGGUCACAGAGCCAAGAGGUGGCUGAAGCCAGACUUGAACCCAGGCAUUCAGCUAAGAAACUGCAUUCUUAAGCAAAACAUCACAAGACCUGCUCUAGAGAAAGUGUUCCUGCCUCCUGCUAGGCAAGGUGAUGCCCUAGGGGAAAGGAAGGAGGAGAAAGCAGAUACCCACAACAGGUGAAGGAGAGAAAGCAGUCCCACAGACACCCCUCUCUGCUGGAAAGUCCUUCCUAUCUGACUCCAGUCCCACUUGCUGGAGGAGUUCCCCUCAUUUUGUUUCUG
rnacentral:lncRNA from 1 species